AAGAACAAGAAGGUCCUAUUCUUAUCUCACUUGUGAGUUGGACACAGCCACCUGUCAUGAGAUAUUGAUGGGUUAAUUGACGUUGGGGUAAUUAUUCCGAUGUAAUUAGCAGUCCUUGUGUUUUGCUUGAGUUGGACACAACACACCUAUAUAUAUAUAUAUAUAUAUUGAUUUUUAUUUAUGUUUUAUUUUAUUUCUGGCUUUCUUUUUAAGAAAAAUCUUGAUUUGGAAUUUCUUUUUCUUUAGAAGAAAAUUUUGUGUUUGCGGUAAGUUUCAGAAGUAGAACUAAUGCAUGCCCAAAAUCAGCUAGGGUGGUAACUGACAGAGCAUCAGGAUAUUUAAAGGGCUUUGGGUUUGUCACAUGCCUUAUGAUUGAAGAGAUGGAGCGGGGCAUAAAGGGAAUGGAUGGUCAGCUACAUCACUGACUAUGAAGAGGUUGCAAUGGUAGUAUAGAUGCUGCAGUACCGCAUCCUCUACUUUGUGGAAUGAUAGGGUGCUAUGCUUUUCAUCACAUCUAAGGUGCUGAGGGUUCCCCUGAUUUGUACACAUGGUAUGCUCAAUUCCAAACUAUCUAAAUAGUGGAACCCACUGUAGAUUGGUCAUGUCCAAUAAAUAGAUUCUUGAACAAUUUAGACCUCUGAUUAGAAAAUUUAUUCAAUUUCAUCUGCUUGCUACUUUUUCUUUUUCCAUCCAUUA